CGGCACAUUCCAUCUGUUCUGCUCAUCUUUGUCAUAAUCAUCAUUGUUGUAGUGUGGGUAUCACAACUGAACUGCUGCAAGAAGGUGAAUGAAGUGGGCCGAUCCCAUUCCUGCAAUUCACACUGAAAAGAUUUGUCUUCUGCUUCCUUUCGACAGAUAUGCUGUGCAUUGCAGUGUAUGGUCUCUAAGACAGAUGGUGGAAACCUUAAUGUAGACAUGUGGACAGGACAAAACUGUGGGUCAUCCUGUAGGGAACCAAACACAAAACUUGUUGUGAGUCAUGGAGAUAAGGUUCGUGCACUGGUGUUUAAUAAAAUUCUAGGGUUACAAUCCAGUUUACUUUUYGGAGGGUAAUAUAUAACUUUUGUGGAAGAGAAAACUAAAAGCUCGUAGUCCUGGAGAAGUAAGAAUGACCACCCAGAGUGGAAGAAGAUGAAUUCUGACUCAUACAUAGAUGAUGUGUCUCAUUUGGUCCCUGUUUCAUUUAGGUGGCUACACAAUAUGAGGACUUUUCACUGCAGAGCCUCUGAACAAGGAAGCCUUUAGUUCGAGUGAGGAGACCGCAUUAGAUCCCAAUGACUUGCCAAUUAUCUCAGCAGGACCCAUGUCUMUAGCCUCUCUCAGGCACUGAUCCCACCAUGCCAUGGGCUUGGGCCAGGGUCCCGUGUGGCCCAGGAGUGGCGAGUGUGGCA
rnacentral:lncRNA from 1 species